GCCAGGAGUGCAUGAAGACUGGAGGAAAGCGUAUGUCACUCCUAUCUUCAAGAAAGACAAGAGGGAGGACCCAGAGAACUACAUGCCAGACAACUUCAACUCAAUCCCUGGCAAGGAUAUGGAGCAUCUCAUCCUAGAAACCAUUUAACAGGCAGAUGAAGGAGAAGAAAAUCACCCGGACUCAUCAGUGUGGCUUCAGCAAGUGGAAGUCAUCCUUGACAAACUUGAUAAGCUUCUGCAAUGAAAUGACCAGCCUGACAGAUGAGGGGACAUCAAUGGCUUAAGGGAUUUUGCUAAGGCUUUUCAUGCUAUGCCCCUGAAGAUCCUCCUGGAGAAGCUGUUGAUGUAUGGGCUGGAUGGGUGGACAGUGAAGUGCUUCAAACCCUGGUUGAAUGGCUUGGCCCAGAGAGUAGCAGCCAGGAGUGCAAAGUUUAGCCAGUAACAUGCAGUGUACCCCCAGGAGUCACAACUGGGUCCAAUUCUGUUAAUUGCAACUUUAUUAAUCACCUGUGCAAGGGGGUGGAGUGCACCCUCAUCAGGCUUGCUGAUGGCAACAAGCUGGGAGGAGUGGCUGAUAAGCCAGAGGGACCUGGACAAGCUGGAGAAAUGGCUGAAUCAAGAAACCUUAUAAAGCUCAACAUGGAGUAGGGCAGUGCCCUGCCCCUAAGCAGGAACAGCCCUAGGCAUGGGGGCAUGCUGGUGGCUACAUAGUUGAAAGGCAGCCUUGCAGAAAUGGACCUGGAGGCCUGGGAGACACCAAACUGAACGCAAGUCAGCAAUGUGCCCUUUGCUGCCAACAGGACUGCAUCAGGCAAAGGACUGCCAGCAGGUCAAGGGAGGCGAUCCUUCCCCUCUGCUCAGCACAGAAACAACAGCCACAUCUGCACUCGUAGGAGCAUCAGACUGGUGGGCACCGCGAGCUGCCUGGAGUGCCUGCACCUAGUGGCUCGAGGUCUGGGCUGUUGAAGAAGCCAAGUUUUAAGCCAAAUGACAACAUCUUCCAUGAUGUUCCUACCUGUGGUAAGACUUCACCGUUAUGGGUUGGCUUCAGCACAUAUGUGUCCUAUGAUCCCUGCUCAGCCAGUUUGUCCAUGGAGAUCACAAGGUACACUAAAUCCCUUUUUCUAUACGGAAGCCUAAAUUUGGCUGUUUCAAGAUCCUUGAAAGGUGUUGGGAAAACUCCUAAUAUUCCAGUCAGGGGAGAAUUUUUGAAACACAUGACUGGCAGAAAACUGAGGCCGAACGCACACCAAGUCUCGGAGAAGUGCUGGCGCUGCUGCCAUCCACUGCAGGUAAUCCCAUAGACGCACACUGAAGGGUUCCUUGUUUUCCUCCAAGGCUGCUGGUGUCAGUCAUGAGUUAGGGAAAACCUUGUGCUGAACUGAGUCAAGUUCCCAUCAGGUCUGGCAAUGUGUGUUUUUUUUGUUGUUACUGUAUUUUUUUUUUCUUAAGGGGGGAAUAAAUGAGCACUCACACACACUGCUAACAACAACGUGAAGCAUUUUCCUCUUCAAGAGCCCUUCCUCCCUACCCAACGCCUUCCUUUUAAAGGAGGGUGCAGAAGUCAAGCAGAGUCGUGCAUCAUCCAGCAGGCACGCGGCACUCCACCGCCGUGCUCUGGGAUUCCUCGAAGCCCGCGCUGCACGGGGAGAGCAGAGCUGGGGCAUGGAAACAGCACUGGGGGGCUGCAGCCUGGCAGCGUGCUCCUUCCCCUCGGAGCAAGAAAUGUCAAGGAGAAUUAGCGAGAUGGCUGCGGGCUUAGCCUGCAAUUGGAAGCAACUGCUGUUCGUAAGCAGGCUGUGACUGCUCAGCCUUGCUAAUCAGAUUUCGGAAGGCGCUGGGCUGGCUCAUGCUAGAGGGUGCCCGUUGCGUGUUUUGCUCACUGCGCUGUGCUGAUGGGGUCGGUGUUUCGGAGAAGAAAGAGGAAGGUUUCCGUGGGGCGAGCCUGGUUCAAUAACCAGAGGUUGUGUUGGAGCAGAGGUCAGAAAGCCACUUGGAGGCCUGCCCACCUCGGGCAUGGCUCUGAGAGCCGUGCUGUGGGUGAUGCGGAGCCAGCAAGGCAGGACCAGAAACUCCAAGGUGUCACAACGCAGCCUCACCAGAACAGACCUGCUGGUGGGGGGGAGCCCCAAAACCCGACCCCCAAAACUUGUUCCCAAAAAAAUGCGCACACACAAAAAAAUGCCCCUCCCAAAAAACCAGGGCAGCUGGCCUCUGCAGGCCUCCAGAGCACGGGCAGCAGGGUGCCAGGAGGCAGAGCACCCUGGCGCAGGGCAGCAUGCAGCUGCACCCCUCCUGGCCGUGCUUUAGCCCCUGCGCAGGAGGGGAUGGAGGGAUGCUUGAGACGAGGGAAGCGGGGAUCCUCUGCACUGGAUCGAGGCUUUAAUUAAUGAAGGAUGGGGUGAUUUGGCAGCGUUUGCUCGGUGCCAGCUCCCGGGAGGAAUACAAGUCUCCUUGUGUUUCCCAGUUGAAGCAGCUUCCGCCGGCGCUGCCUGUGCUCUCGGCUGUGCUGUAUAUGGCACGGCUAUUUUUAGAAAAGCAGGGUUGCCAUGGCAACCCAGUGUGUUUUUUUGUUAAAUAUAGCAGCUGUUGCAGGGAACUCUUGUCCUUCUGGAUGCAAAGGCUGUGUUUUCGCCCUCUGACAGCGCUCAGGGUAUUAAACGCAGAUGAGAAAGGAUGAUUAAGUGUGCGGAAGCCCAGCAGAAACCACGGCUCUGUAAUUACACGGAGGGGCUUUGAACAGCGCCGUGCGCGCCUGCUGCUCGGGGAGCAGCUCCCUGCAUCGCCAGCGUGUGGGGACAGGGGCACGGGGCUCUGCAGGGGGCUGCGGGCUGUGAGACCACCCACCCCUCUCUCUUGCUAGCCAGGAUGCUCACCCACUGGCCACCAAGGCUGCCCAGGAGGGCACGGGUCCCCUUCCCUGGGCUGCAGCGUGAGAGCCGAGCGCCCCAGUGCCAUGCGGUGGCCACGCUUCGGAGGCCGAGGGGAGACCAAGGGGUUCCCUUUGUUUCUGUUUGUUUGUUUGUCAGCUCCGGAGGGGAGCAGCACUGGAGGAUUUCAUUCCCGCAGGCCUGCUUCACUUUGGCUUUGUCACUUCUUUACCGGACCCCUGGGUGGUGCAAACAGAUCCCCUCAAAGUGCCUUUUCUCUUCUGCUGGGAGGAGGCCGAGGACGAGGGAGCUCUCUUCCCACCGGCUUUGUUGCACGGCUGGCACUUCUCCUCCCCAUUUUGGGGGCUUCCUGGCUCUGCAAGCCCCAAGGGGCACUCGUGGGUUUAGGAUUUAGGAUUUAGGGCCACUCGUGGGCAGCCUCUGCCUUGCGUUGCCUCUCCCUCCCGCGUGGCACCCACACAGCCGCGUGCACGGGGCCACUUGGGCUGAGGGCGGUGUGCCGGCUGGGAGAUGGAGGCCUUUUUUUAAUUAACUGCUCUUUGCCUCGUUAAAUGAAAAAGGAAACCUAGCGAGCUGGAGAUACACAGCAGGGCUUAGGGUCUUUGUGUUUUUCUUUGAAAAGGGGAUAGAAGCACAAACAAAUACAGAAACAGAGUUGAAACAGCUUGGUUUAAAAUAUCCACGGAGGUCACUGUGACCAGGACUUCAACAGGAAUAACAUAUCUCCUGGAUCCUUAUCUGUUCCCUGGGCUAUCAUGAGUGGGAUCUAUUGCUGGGGAUGUUAUUGCUUUUUUGAAUUUAAUUGCAUGAAUGUUGCUUAUGCAAGCAGAACACGGCCGGGGAGGGGCUCUCCUUCCACCAACUGUGGGCACUGGGGCUUGGCUUGGCCCCGCUGCCCAUGUCCCCAGCUGCUUAGCCCUGUAUCUGGCUCUGGUGAGCCUGGUCCUGAAUGGAUAAAGAAAGGCUGAGCUUCCCCAGGAACGUAUAUUUAUUAAAACUUCUGCCUCUGCUUAUAUGUCCACUUCCCUGCGUAUUCAGCGAUCAUCUCAGUGUUUAUGCUCCCCGCUUUCCCCCCAUUGAUUUAUGGGCUUAUUGUAAUCUCUCCAUUGUGUCGCUUCCCCCUCCAGGCAGUGGGGAGCAGGCAGCAGUCCUGGGAGGUUUUUCCUUCACCCUGCCUGUUUGCUGGUCCAGCCCUCCAGCAUUCGCAGCAAUUUGUGUGAGGAAGUGCCACGCUUCAGCUGUGGUACCAAAAUUUGAUGAAACCAUGUUUUUCCCAGCAAGGAUGCUCUUGAGGGCAGUGCGGUCUCCCUAGCAGUGAUGGGGAGUACUGCGAGGGAUGAAAUGCUUUUCACUUCUUUAGGAGAUGGCUACAGAUCUCAGCUGUCCCUCUCAAAUAUACUGCUGCUCCUCUCGUGGGACCAGGGGCUCAUAUAAAGCCUUUUACCAAAGCCUUUACACGCUCAGCUCCUCAUCAGGACAGCCAGGAGCUGCUUAAUGCAUCUCGUGUUGGCUUCCCGUCCUCUGUCCAUGGGGCAGGUGGCCCACGAGCGUAGAGGUGAGGGUAUCUCAGCACCUCUAGAAACGUGGCCUCUUGCCAUCAGGCCAGCACCUGAUGGGGAGAGGCAGGCUGGGCAUGCAGGGAGGCUGAAUAAACCCAUGUGGUAUUCCUGCCUGGCAUCGCCAGGGGAUGCAGGGACCUCGCUGGGGUGGAUGUCCCUCAUGAGCCAGCUCUGUGGGUCUGGUCACUGUGCCACUGCCUGGGAAGGCUCUCUGAUUUUCAAGAGAGAGAUCUUCUCCUGAACAAGAGACACCGAAAGGACAGGGUGGUACUGGAAGUGUCUGGCUUUUUUUUUUUUUUUUCCCCACAUUUAUUUUUUUUCUGGGAAACAGACAAAUAUCAGAGGGAUUUGGGCUUGUUUGUUUGUUUGUUUUCCCCGGGAGCAGACUUUUCGGCUCGAUCCCUUCCAAGCACAGUAGCUGUACCAGUACUCAGUGCCUUUGCCAGGCCUGCCUCAGCAGCCGUAUCAGUCGCGGCAUGUUUUUGUGCCAUUUGGGGAAAUCCUCUGAGACAGGCAGCUCAACAAUAACGUUGAUUUAGGGAGAAAGUCCAUAACUUCUGCACAAAGAAGAGGCUGAGCACCUGUGGUGGCUCACACUGCCUGGAGAGGUGACUGGGGACAGAAGAAGGAAGGAGCUGGCUGCUGGGACACGUGGAAGCAGCACAAGCCCCAGGGUGGCUGCUGAGUGCUGAGCUGCUGGGAAAACCUGGGCACAGCAGGUGCUGAGCCUGCUGCCAGAAAUGUGGCCUCCGUAGAGGAUGCAGAGGAAAGCAUCUUCUCUGCAACAGGAGGUGGCUUUGCUGGUGACCUGCCUCCUGUGCUGGCUUCCUCCUGGCUUUCUGCUGGUGAGCAAGGGCACCUUCUCUUGUGCCUGGCACCAGAAAGUGCCUGUAGCCUGUGACAGCCUCAGACGAGCUCGGGUUAAAUUCCUGACUUCAACCUCAGGGGUUCCAGCUAGUCCCUAGAAACAGCAAGAAGCUUCCGAAGGAGGAGCUCCAGCCCAGGAGCGGGACCAGGAGCCUUUAGCGCCUCUUUUUGUCACUGGCUUCAUUCCCCUCCCCAGCCUGUGGGUGAGCCCACCAAGAAGACCUCCCAGCAGAACAGGACGAGAUCAGAUUUGCCCACAAACUCUAACGUAGCCAAGGUUUUCACACCCCUCCCUGGAUCGGGAGCAAUUUGAGUAGCACUGGUGCCUGAACCAAGGCUGUGGCAGGAGGUGAGAAAUCAGCAGGCAUUCACAGAGACACCGCAAUUAGCUGUGCUGGUGCCUCCAGCAUAUUUCAGUAUACAAUUUAUUUUUUAAGUUCUAGCCCCUCCAAGCCCUCAGUUCAGCCACUUGUGGGAGGAAAUCCAGGAAAACCACAGCUUGCCCAAUGGCUGCGACCUCCCUGCGCCUCCGCCGCGGGGCUGCAGCCCUGGGGGCACGGGGUGCGAGCAGUGGGGGGCCACGAGGGAUGGGAUGAAGGCGAGGAGCUGCUGGUGGGCCUGUGGCCGUGCCCAGCACUGCAUGGAAAUUGCAGCCCCAGCUUCCCUCGCUUUGAUAUAUUCUUGGAUGCGCAGCGUGCGGAUUUUCACCUUCUUGAAUUUCGCCCCGAGCCGUGCGUUUGUCCAAACAGGAAAGCCUGCCCUGAAAUCCAGACGUGGCCGCACAGGACAGCCAAGGUUUGUCUUGCUUGUGUUACCAGCCUCAGGGGCGGCCCCACCAUCACAGAAAGUGCGGGGGGCAUUGGGAGGCAGGAGCCAAAAUCUCUCCUCCCCCAAUUCAGUGUCUCACGAAGGCAGCUGCAUCUCCGGAGGAGAAGCAGGAACAGCUGGAGCAGAAGAAAGGCCAAAUGAGAUGAUGCCAUUAGGAUUAUUUCAUCUCCCGGUUGAACGGGAGCCCAGAGCAGUCCCUUUGUCAGUGAAAUCCUCCUGCGUGGGGCUCUUACACCAUCACAGGGCAGGGGCCGCGAACAUGCGCCAGUCCUGGAGCGCUUCUCUCCCCGGGCAGGACAAGAUGUCCCAGGGAAGGGCCGCGGGGGAUGUGCAGCCCUGAAUCUGCCAUGGGGAGUGCUGGACAAAGUCAUGGUGCAUCGGACACGCAAUUUCAGUGAAGGGUAGGUUGUGCCCCCAGAUAUCCUGUUGGGAAAAUUAACUAAAUGGCAUCUUACUUGAAUACCAGCAGCUCCCUUCCUCACUGGAAAAGUUUUCCCUGUCCCACCCAAACCUGCUGCUCCAUUUUUGAAAUAAGCCAUUCUUACUUAUUUUCCAAUUAAAACAUUUUUUUUUUGGUUUGUUUUUGUUUGUUUCAGAUCUGAUUUCUUCUCCUCAUCCCUCUCCUUCUGCUCCUCCACGCAGCAGGAGAGCUGGAGGAUGCUCUGUUGUGGCAUGGCAGCUCCCCAGCUCCCAAAAUACAGGUCUGCCUCUUUGGGCAGGGCUGGGUACGGAGGGGAUGGAAGGGCCUCCUCUCUCCUGCUCUCUCUAAUUUUUCCCCUCUAGCUCUAUUUUUUUUCCAGGGAGCUCAUGCUCGCCAGAUCCUGCCUCCAGCACUCGUGGCAUCUUUGUUGGCUCCAUGUGCACGAGUGUCCAAAAAAGGGCUUGGAAGAGGAAAGGCAUUAGACGGAGGCAAUUAUUAAUGGUAAUAAAACAAUUGCAGGGAGGGAUCCUGCUUGGACUGCAUUAUGAAGAUGCUCUGAACCACCCACCUCUGCAACGUAACCUCGCUGCCUGCUCCACUUUGCCUUUCCUCCUCCCGUGCGCCAAUUACUGGAUUCAUCCCACUUCACAUUUUUAUUUCUCCUCCCUGGGAUUUGGACCGAGUGCCCUUUUCGGUGGUCAUAAUAUGCCUCCUUCGUAUCUUCCUCCUACCUUGUCAUGUGUAAAGAAAAAGGGGGGAGUAAUAAUUCCUUUAAUCCCUGCGGGCCCCCCGGUGCUGCUCGCUGUGUCCUCUGAUCCAGAAGCCAGACAAAGCGGUGGCACAGAUGCGUAGCUCGGCUCCGACUGCUGGAGACAGUCAUUAAAGCCUCUCAGUUGGAUGCACACGGUAAGGAAUAGACCCCCCCCUUCUUCCCUCCCAGGGCCCAGGAAGCUUCCCAGCUCCCCUGACACCAAAGCCUCCCCUUCUCAAUGUUUCAGGAUCUGGAUCUAAUGACCCCACAGUCCUAGGUGGGGCCGGGGCUAACCUGGGGGUGCUGCAGGGAUGCUGUCUCUGCCCCCUUGCAGAGGACAGCUUGCAGUGCUUCCCAAUUUAUCCUGCCAGCAUCCUCACAGCAUGCCCAGCUCCCAGCCCCGCAGAGCAAUCCCUCUCCUCUUUGCAGGAGAGGGAUUCUCCCCAGUGCUCUGGGUUCAAAAGCUGCUUUGCAUGACCAAGGAGCCCUGUGCUGCUCUUUGAAGCCCGUGCACACAGAGGCAGUGGUUUGACACUGUUCUCAUCCUGCACCACGUCUGUGGGAUGUGCUCAGCGAACACGCUGCCUCGUGGUGUGCUCCGAGCCCUGCAUGAGAUGGCUCAUCCCCACCCAGCGCACAGUAACACACCAUCCGUCCCGUUACUGGCAGCAGCGGGGGGAAAGGGAACCUCUGAAAUCCAUAAAUCAGACGCCUCUCGAAUUGUGUGGGAUUAAGGAAAAGGUGUGGAAUAGAAAUAAUUUCCUUGGGGGAAACUAUAUCAUUUCAUUUGCCCAGGAAAAUAAUACACAUUCAUCGUGUGUGUCUUCAGGAGACUUUAAAAAGAAUUAAAUGCGGGGUCGGAUUAAAUGAGAGGUCGGAGGAUGCAAUUAUGACCGUGGUUUCUCCGGGGGCAAAGCAGGAGGAAGAAAUUCCCUUCCUGCCCCCUGUCCCAGCAUUUGGGACUUGCCCUGACGCUGAAGUUCACUGCCUCUGUUGUUGUGUUGUCCCCCCACCCUGCUCCCUAAAAUGCACAUGCAGAGUGAAACACUGGAAUAGGCCAGAUACCAAAACCUGGCAAGGAGCAGCGUAUUAUUAGUUUUUAAUCCAGAUCCCACCCAUUGCGGGAUCCCAUCCAGUGGAAGCAGAAUGUCUCCAUCUGGCUUUGCUGCCGGGGAACGUUUCCACGCCCCAAGCCCGGUGUCAGUUGGCAGUGGGGCCGUGGUGACAGCCCUGGAGAGGGGCAGGAGCUGGAGCCAGCAUUCCCUGUGCUGAGGUUGGUUUGUUGUCACCCCCCCAUGUCCUGGGCAAACCACGGAGCCUGGAGAUGGCCUGGGGACCAUGCUGCGCCCCAGCUACAGCUGGCUGGUGGGACCUCCAUGCAGUGUGGUUGGUGGGACCAGCAUGAAGCAUGGUCACAGGGCCCACAUGACAGCCCAGAGCCACCUCCCCAUACUGCCACGCUGGAAAAAGGGGGACGAGGAAGGCAAGGUGAGGUGAAACUCGCUGAGAGCUUUUGACACGCUCCCAUUAGCUGGCGGGCACAGGCUGUGCGGUAUUGCUGCAGACUCUGAGCUCACCAUGCUAAUUUAAGACAGAAACUGCAACUUUAUCUGCAAAUAUAUGAAGCAAUAAUCAAUAGCAGCCUUCUCCUGCCAGCCGUGGUCAUGUCAGCACCCUGGCGUGCUCUCAGCCGCAAGCACUGAGACCGUAGCAGGGAGAGGCGGAGGUGGAGGAAAGGGAAGGCAUGCAGGCAGGAGGAAAGCAAGCACACGGUGGGGAUUCAGGGCUGUUUCUCCUCACCUUGCCACACCACAGGGCACUGUCAGGUCGGGCACAGCUGCGGGGGCAGCUGGGGCAGGCAGCCAGCCAUGGUGGGCACGGGGAGGAGAUGGACGUGUGCCACCUCCCAGCCGGUGCACACCCCGGCAGCUCAUAAAAGCAGCAGGUCUUGGCAGCGUUUGCUCUGCUUUAACGAGGCCAUCUGCUCCCGGUGACCAGCAGAGCAGCUCCUCUGGCAAAGCCUGGCCAGAGUCAAGACAGAAGCCAGCAGGUUUGGCCUCGUGAGGUGUCCUCCACGUGUCCCAGGACAGCAGCGGAUGAAAACAGCUCGCUGCUCAAUCAGCAGCUGUGACCCACGGGCAGCUGUAGCCCCGCUGUUGCCCACCUGUGCCUCCCUCCCUCGCCGCUGCCACCUGCACCUCCUCGGCACGCAGCUGACUCCAGCUCUGCUUCACGCCUGCUCUGGCACUGAGGACCUCAAAAAGGUGUCGUCCUCUUGGAAAGUCCAACCUGUGGUUGGAUGCUGCAAUCAGUGCUAAACUGAGCUCCAGUUGUUCGUUUAAGCUAAUGCAAUUACCAAAACCCAGGAGUUUUGAAAGGGUUGUUAGGGGCUUUUGCCUUCCGUUCAGGCCACGGACUUCCCCACAGCCUCCUCUGGAGGUGCUGGUGGCAUCUCGCAUCAGGAGCAGAAGAUGCAAGGCCAGCCUCAUCCACUCUGGCAAUUCCCUCAUCUCUGAGCAUCAUUCCCCCCCCCCUUUUACAAAACAAGCACGCUUAGCACUACACGAUUUCGGCAUCCGAGUCGCCUGACGGCUUUAGAAGGGAGUAAACAUUCAUCCUGCUGACACGGCAAUAAAACCGGUGCAUCUGGAAAAGAGGAGUCAGCAGCAGAUGUGCCCCUGCAAACUGCUCGCCGUGAUGAAUGCUCUUCCCAGAUACUGCUAAUCCCUUUUCUCUUGCUCCUAGACCUCCUUAAUUGUGCUCCCUGUGAUUAAACAACGCUUUGAAGACAUCUCUAGAAGUUGUUUCUUCCACAGCAGGAAUGUCGCCUGCCGGGUUUGUAGCCUUUGGCUCUGGGUGUAAGGAGCUCGUUUGGCAAGGCAGCCGGGGACAGCGCCGCCUGGGUGCUCCCCUGUCCCCAACCUCCUCGGGGCACAGCCUCCACCAGAAGGUCAGGGCCACCAGAAGGCCAGGAGGGGACAGUAGGCUGGGCAGGGAUGUGAGGAUGAUGGAUUUCCAGGGAUGUGCUGCUCGUCCCUGCACCAGAGGCAGGGCGUUUUGGGCAGGAUGGGCGCUGGCACAGGGUGAGCUGUCCCAGCCUGCGCCCUCCCGACGGGGUGGAGGAGGAAAGUCCCCGUGGAUGGAGGCAAGCGAUCGCCUGAAUAUUCAUGUAUCGGCAGGCAAGCUACAGCAGGCCCUCGUUACAAACUGCUACCCAAACUGCUUACAUCCAUAAACGAGGGAAAUAAAUAAACAGAUGCUUGUUAAUUGACUUAAUUACCAACCAGCAAACAGGAGACCGGGAGCACAUCAAUAAAAGUGUUUUAAAAAGCAACCCGUAGUAAUUCUUUUCCAUAUGCAAACCACGCCAGUCUCUUCUGUCUACAAUAGACUCCCCAAAGACGAGAAAUGGAUUUUCAUUAUGUGGGAAGGAGAGAUCAAAGUCUGAAAAUUAGGGUUGUAGCCCAAAAUGAAGCCCAGGAGUUAUUGCAAACAAUCCUCCUUGAACAAGAAAAGUCCAGCAGCUGAAGGAAUCCUCCAGCAAGGACCAAAAGAUGCUCAAGCAAAAGGGAAAUGUGGAAGGACCCGUCCCCGCCUGUAAUGCAGCCAUGUCCAACCUGAGGAUAGGGAUAACUCUGAUGCGCUCCCUGAUGGGGCUGAUGCUCACCGUGGAUCCCCUGGAGUGCAUAAACAUGAAGCAUCUCCCAAGCUGCAGGCUUAUGGCCAGACCCUUGAUCUUAUUCCUGGGGUGGAUGCAUGGGUCCUGCCCACCCAAAUGAAGUACGAGCCGUGGAGCGGUUCAUUGACAAGGGCUGCAGAAGCUGUCAUCUCCCGUGACCUCUCCUGAUCGUGACACCACAAAGGAAAAAAAAAAAAAAGAAAAAAAAAAGAAAAAGGCCACACCAGGCUUUGAAAUGUGCAACCACCUGAGCUGUAAGUUGAUUUCUUUCACUUUCUGGAAGCGAUUCCCCUUGUAUGGGUGCUGCUGUUCAGCAGUGUCUGUGCAACUGCCUGCUGCAAACUGCUCGUUGCACGCAGAGCGAGCCUGCCAGCCAAGGCAGGUACCUGCUCUUUUCCAGCCCCGUUCCCAGCGUGUUUGCUCUGCUCCUGGUCUGGCAGGGAGGCUGUGCAGAAAAACCAGCGUGGGUUCCCUCGGGACUGCUUGCAAUCAGCCUCCAGUGCCGUUACCUGUAUCACGCAGCCCAAGUGCUUAACGAGUGCCCCGGGGCGGGCAGGUUAUGAAAGAAGCCCCAUUAGCGUGCCCCUGGCUGACGUCAAUGUGACGCGGGGUAAUCAGGGGAAAACGCAGAGCAGGAUAUGCAGAAACGCUGGGGAGAGCAGGCUUUUGGGUGCAACUGGAAUAAUAAAAUAAUAAAAUAAAAAAAAAUAGAGGUGGAGCAAGUGGCAGCAAGAGAUGAAGGAAGAUUGUCUUAUCAGCCGGGGCUGGCAGCUGGGGUGAAUUUCCCCUCCCGAGUGCAGACUCUGCAGGUGUGGGUGAUGCUCUCCCAGUGCUCAGGUGCUGCAGCUCCAGCCCUUGCCAUGGGCACGAGCAGGUCUGCAUUCACCAGGAUGGCCACGGCAGGGGACAGCGGGCAGGUGCAGAAUUACAGCCCUCAGAGCCCAACACGACUGAAGACCGCCUGUUGCGUUGAAGCAGAUUGCAUGCUCGCCUCAAAUUUUGUGAUAUUUGCUGAGCUACCUCCACCUGUAGUUCUGGCUUUGUUUGAAGGAAAGGAGUGAGUGAGAGCACUUGUGUUCCUGUGCUUGCAGGGCAGACCCUGAAGCUGGAGCCCAGGCAGGCUGGAAGAGCAGAAGGCUCAAGGAAGACAAGCAGCAGCUCCAAAAGCUCCCCCUGAGGGACAUCGGGGAGAGGAGUGGGGCACACCGAGGUGGCUGUGGUGGGACCAGGUCGUGGUGGUCGGGGCUGCCCUGGGGUAAGGCUGUGGUUUGGCUCUGCAGAGGAUGGGGACCCCGGCAGCCUUGCACGACCAGCUCCCGAGCCCGGAGUGUCUUUCAGCAAGACGUGCAGUUUCACCACCUGCUCGUUUGGGCCCCCGGCUGCCACGCUGCCUAUCUGUCGGCGCGUUUGCUCGGCUUUCCAAAAUGUGCCUGUCCGGCUCCUCUGGCAUCCAACAUGCUGCUGCCUGCCUCGUGCGCGCUGCAGAUUCGGGUUCCUCCUUGGAAAGCAUCCACGUCGCCAGCUAUUUUUGGAACAGAGGCAUCUAUUGUCUUGCGCCGUUCCCUGCUGGGUUAAGCUCACAGCUGCCGAGGCCCCUUCCCCCAGCACCCUCUCCCUUCCUUCCCAUGGCACGGCUUCUGCGUGCCAGGCAGCAUCUCCAGAUAUGCUGCUAGAGCACCCCGAGGCAGGGCAGGGCCCUUGCCACCAUUUUGUGGGUGCCCUGAGCCAGCGUCUGCCCCAGGAGCUGUCAGGGGGUCCCACAGAGGGGUGGAUCGUGGUGUCCAUCUCCAGCAACAGGCUUCCUAAUCCUGCUGUGAGGUCCUGCCAAGCUGAUCUGCAGCACGGGACCGGGUCCUCCACCCCUCCAGGCUGAAGCCAGAGGUGGAGCAGCGUGGCAGGGGCUACAAAUGGAGUGUGUGGGAGCUGCGCUUCAGGCUGAGCCCUUGCAUUAGGCAAGAAAGAGAGGAAUUGCUGGACAGGCUGGGAGCUUGUGGCAGGGCUGUCCUUCUCCCUUGCCACAGCUUCCAGAGCUGGGCUGGGUUUUGUAGCCCUGGUGCCCAUAGCAAGAAGGCUGGGCUGCUGCUCCCUGAUCUCAGGACCUUUGGGAUUCCUUCAACCUAAAGUUUCAUCUCUGAUUUCCUCGGUCAUGUUGGGUUCCCUUUGCUGCCCAUUUAUUUGUGCCUCUACCAGAAAGCUAGCUGACAAUUUUCAAGUGUCUUGCUCUGCAGAAGAACUGAAGAGGGGGGGAAAUGCAAGAUGGGACAGAGCUAUUUUAAUCUAAGUCCAUCUGCGUUGAUAAUUCUCUAUCCAGUCCCGAUCAUUGCUGGAAUUCUUGAGCAGGACAGAGUUUGCUGAGCGGCCUGGCUGAGCAAAUACCUUGCAUGCUUUGCAGGCGCUUCAGCCUCUGCAUGCCCAUGCAUCUCUGCUUGCAGCCUGGUGGGUCAGCACAUGCUUGAGCAGAGCCACCAUCAGAGCCGCAAAUGCAGGCACCCGCUCCCCAGCACGGGGAAGAAGCGGAGCCAGCAGCUCCUUCCCACCGCACGUUCCUCUCCCUGCAGUCAGAUCCACGUCGCGGGAACAGCGAAUUCGGCACUGAUGGCCCCUCAGCAUGUUAGGAAAGUUUCGUGCAAUCUGUUUACUUUUGGACAUAUGCUGCGCUCGUGCAGCCUGGAGUCUCGCUGCCUCUAAUAACUUGAGGUGCAAUUUCCUCCUGUUUGGUGCCUGGUGCACUGAUCGACACCUGUGGAAAUAGGCCUCUGGGGGGGUGCAAAAUGCCUUUGCUCCUCUGGGGUAGCCCCUUUACUGCUGCUGUUAAAAAAAAAAUGGCACAUGUUGGCCCUGAGGUAGGGAUCCUCCAUGGGAAAUCAGAGGGAGAUGGGAGGCGAUGGGACCACGCUGCACUUCACCACCUCGGGAAGCUUGAGGAAGGCUGAGAUACCUGCAUCUGCAUGGAGCUGCAUGGAUGUAUAUAUGUGUGUAUGGAGCUGUAAAGGUAGCUGUGUGUCUCACAGAAAGCAGAUUGUGCUUCCAAGGAGGAGUUCUCUAACCCUCGUUGCAGGGAUGCAAGGUCUUUGCUGCACCUGGGAGCUGCCUGGGUGGACAGGCGAUGUGCAUUUAAUGCACAGCUUCUCUCCUUGCAGAAAAAGAGCACAAAAUCCUAGUUUGUUUUUCUGUUUUUUCCCUUGCUUUUUGAGCACUUCUCUAGCAUAAUGCCCUGAGGGGGAUUCACUGAGCUCUGUGCCACGGUGUCCUCCUGCCUGCGCCCAGCUCACCAGCAUGGCUACAACAGAUUUUGCACCAGAAGAGACAACUAAAAAAAUAAUAAUUGAGAAAGGGCCGUAUUUGAGGGUUGGCAAAACAGAUUUAUUUAUUUAUUUAUUUUCCAGCAAAAGUGAAGUUAAAUGGGACAGAGAUCUUCCUGCACCCUCUCUGAUCUCAGAUGAGGAGCUUGGGCUGUGAUGUACCCUGUGAACCAGUUUUCAGGAUAGGAAUAAAAUCUGGAGAAACGGACAACGGACAAAAACCGGGAUCCUUGCAGACAGCCUCCUGUUGCACCUCUGUGUUUCACUCACCCCCUGAUUCUCCUGCAGAUCGGCAGCACCGCAGGGCAGUGACUCGCAGGCGUGGGGUUUGGUGUCUGGCAGCGGGCUGGUUACGAAUUCCAGUGUGGCCAUACAGGUAUUUAUGUAGGCAGCUGCCGUGUUGGUGACUCGCUUUUAUUUUAUGCUGCCUGAAGCAUCCUGAGGCAGGAGCGGUGCCGGAGAGCCCGCACAGGAGCAGCUGGGCUGUGAAAGGCACCACAGCCGGGUGCUCUCCAAGCCCUGCUGCAGGCGAUGCUGGUUUCCCCCAUUUUGUGCACCCUGUGAGGAGCUGGGUGUGCAGGACCGUGUCCCUGGGGGAAGUGUAAUGUUUUUUCACGAGCAAAACUUUGGAUAGGGCCCUGAAGAAGGGGUUGGACCCUGCAGCAGCCAGCAGGAGCAUCCCUGGGGACAGACUGGUGCCCUGGGCCAGAUGGGAGGGUGGGGAAGCCUGAGCCAGCAGGCCGUGAGCAACUGCUAAAAUGUUCCUCUUGGGGUGCGUUUUGAGUGAAUUUUCUAGCAACGUUUAUUUUUGAAAGGCUUGCUAUCAGUGUUACUGAGCAAACCUGGCAGCUCCCCUUGCUCUGCCACAGCCCUGCUGGGAGCAGCACUGCUGGGAUCUCACAGCACUAACGUGAUGCACCCAGGGGUGCAAUGCAUGGCAAGGAUCUUCUUGCCCUGGGUGCAGGGCAGACCACAGCAGCCCUCAGCUCAGCAGCAGGGUGAAAACGCCGAGCAAGUAUCAGGCAGUGCAGGUAAAUGGUGUGGAAGCAGCUCUGUGCAGUGCACAUAGCUGAACGCAGGAGUCCCACCUGGAGCAGACCUCCAUGGAAGCAGAUUGCAGGGGUCAAUUACGCUCAAGAAAGCAGAAAUGGUUGAAAGCACAGGUGAAUUCAACUGGGAAAGUAUUGUUGUGUAUUGACCUUGUUCUCAUGAUCUUUCCCUAAACAUCCACCCUUGUUACAGACCAUAACAGCACGAGGUGCUUGCUAGAGCCGUUGCUGUUAGACAAGAACCUGAGCUAAGCUGAUCUAAGUGAAGAAUUGCUUACUGUCAGUGGUGGGCAAUAUUUUUACGCUCUUUCUAAACUGAUAAAAUAAUUUUGCAGUGAAAUGGUAUUGAUGGGAGUUGUCCCCUUCCCUCCCCCUGCAUCUUCUGUCUCAUUUUAAGCGCAGGGCCGAUGGUGGGCACGCAUGGUGAUCCCCUACAGUGAAACUGAAGUUUCACUGAUUUUAGGGGGGAGAAAACAGAGAGGGCCAAGGGCUGGAUCAUUGCCUGGCUGCGGCAGGGUGCUCACGCCAGCCACCUCAGCUGCUCUCAAAGCACUGCUGUCCUCUCUGACAGCCCCAUCUCACCCAUCCCCUGCCCCUUGCUGAGGGAUCGGAGCCGUCAGGGCCAUGCUCACUAGCUAACACCUUUCCCACACGAUGAGCUUCUGCCGUGCUUCCUCCCCAGCUUAAAACUUCCCAUCCUUUUAAGUUAUUCUGGAGAUGCUCAGCUGCCUCUUUGCCCCUUGGCCUUCCUCCCGCCUCCCUCCCCCAAAUCCGGGGCGAUACAGUCAAGCCCUAAUGAAACACUGCCGGUGACUCAGGCCCACUGGCUGUUGUGGGUGACACGUGGCCCAGCUCACAAAUGCCACCGCAGGCGUUAGCACAGGGCAUUACAUGGGCAGGGGGGCGGAGGGGAGCUCGGGGGGAUGCUCUGCAAUCGCUGCCCACCCGCAGGAGGCCGUGGCAGGGUCAGGAUGGCGCGCGGUGGCUCCUCAUCCCCAGGGCUGGGCAGCUGCCAGAAAGGGGCUGGCCACAGCUGGGUUUCCUGUUAAAAAUAACUCCACGGCAUAAACUUUCACGGGAGGAAGGGCAGAGAGCGGCGGGGUCUGGCGCCGUCCCCUCGGCCACAUCAGAGCCCAGCUCAGCAAACAUCUGCCCGGCCGGCGUGAGUCAGCAGCGGCCGGGGGCAAGGGCAGGAAAUGUCUGAGUUUGACCCCGGCGAAACCCAGGGGAGACAAGCCUUUGGGGCUGGAAGGAAAACAAACACUGGGCUAAACCGAUGCUCAGAGGACCUCUCGUCUCUGGCUUGUUGACCGCUUCACUUGCGUAAAAGCAGCAAAAAUGGUGAGAGGAGAAAGAAAGAGAAGAGGUGAGGAGCACGGCAUCCCAGAGAGGCGUGGGGAGGAAGGCUUCGCUGUUGGUGUUGCUGUUUGGCUGCAGCAUUUCCUUUGUUUUCCCUGUGCCCCAAGCACCCAGCAGGACCGGGCUGCUCUGGCUGCAUGGCAUCAGCAUGACCCCAUUUGCUUUGCCGGGGCACAGGAGGAUCUGUUUUCCCACACCCUCCUCAUCCUCCCGACAUCCCCAGUGCAAGGCACCUGUGGGCAAGGGGCUGCUGCAGCUUAGGGUGCAUUUUCUGCCUUCUCACCCAGCGUUCCCCAUCCCACACUGAGUUUCUUUUCCCUCUGGGCUGCUGUCACUGGCUGGGGGCUGUGUGACAGUCUGUGGAGUCGGGGUGCCCUCCAGGCCACAUCUGCCCCUCGCAGAGGAUGCUCUUGGCUGUCAUUGAGUGAAGUCAUGACCUUGCACAUCAUCAGGCAGGGCAAUACGGUGGUCACCCCACCAAGAAGAGGGCAUCCCGAGCACACCGUGCUCACCAGCUCCUGCUCCACAGGACAGCACAGCACCGCCGUGCCCAUCCAGUGCUCCCCAGGUCGUGCCGGUGGUGGAUUCCCUCGUCCUGCCAGAGCCGCCUGGUACAGCAGCGCUGGGAGGAGACGCUGGUAAUUUUCCACUAUCCCCGGCAUCGGGAGGCACAGAGCAAGCACUGAAAACCUGGCGAGGCUCCACCGCGGGUUCACACCUAUUGCUUUCGCAAGACGUGCGAUGAUAAAACCCUGAAAGGCAAAGAAAGGCCAUUGCUCUGAUUCACUUAGCAUGCUGCAAGCUGUCUUGUUUUGUUCCCUCUCCUCUUUUUCUUUUUCCUUCCCUGUUCUGGGAGACGAGGGGGGAGCGUUACGUGUUCCCAGGCUAUUUCAGGCCAUCGCAGCACUGGUGUCUCAGGUAGCCUGACCCCGCCACCCCGCUUCUGUCCCAGCCCUCUCAGCGAUCCCAGGAUCCGCAUGUCGGCUGUGACACUUCCUAAUUGCUCAAGAUGGAUUGCUUAAGAAAAAGCCUUCCAUAUGGUCCACAGGAUUUAUUUUUUUUUUUAUAUUCCCCCCCCCUCCCCGUUUCUACAACUGUUACAGGAAAAGAUAUUUUUCCCCAUUUGACAUAUAUGUAAUCUUCUUCUGAUACACAAAUGCCAGAUGGCACUGCAAAAAGAUAAUAAAUGUGUCUGCAGCCUUCGACAGUUAAGUCUGUGAACCUCGAAAAUGGCUACAGAGGAGCUGGGAGUGGCUGGGCUCAAUUUUUUUUUUUUUGGUCGGGGGUGUUGAAAACGAAGCAUUUCAUCUAAGGGGGUUAGGUGAGCCUGGAAAUGCUCUGUGCCUGCCCCAUGCCUGAGCCUGCUGGGGAUGCUGCUGCCAGAGGAUGGAGAGGCUCCGAUGGUGGCUCUGCUGCUCCCAAGGUGGACAGGGGAGUUGGCAAGCUCCCAGUGUGGAGAUGCAGGAGGAAUAUGUAUUAUUCUGCCUGUAUAUAGCCAUCUUUUGGUGUGCUGGAAAACACAAAGUUUUUGAUAAAACCAUGCCAAACUCUUGGUUUUUGUGAUGCUGGAUGUCUUGCUGGCUUCUCCCAGGGAAGCUUUCCUGCUGGGCAUAUUUGGAGUGUGCUGGUUGUGGCUGUGGUCGAAACACAACACGGGCCCUUCAAACAAGCCCUGUGUGACCUGGCCUGGGGUUUGCACAGCAGCGAGCAAAUAAAAGCCAGCUCGCCUCUGCCAGGUGAGCGCUCUGUGCCCGUGCCUUGUGUCAACCGUGGGAAGGAAAUUCGAACUGCAGAGGGAUUUGGGUCUUAAAACCACCUCUGGGAAGGGGCCCUGUGGUUGAACCAGCAACAAGGAAAGCAGAUUCCUGACACCUGGUGAAACAAAGCUGUUUGCAGCCGAUGGGCACCUCACCGUCGGGUUUGGAGGGACUUUGAAUCGGGUACUGGAAACCCAGGGAGGAGAGCUGUGAAGAGUCCUGCCUGCUGCAAGGGCGGAUUGUAAUCUCCUCUCGGAUGUCAAACUAACCCAGAUAAUAAAACAGCUUGAGUCUCAAGACGUUCCCCAGAGAGCAGAAAUGUAUGGAUAACCCUGAACACGUGAAUCAACAGCAGCAGACACACUGGUAACUGCCAGCUUCAGCAGAGCACCUGAAACAUUGGCACCGGGAUCUGUGAACUUCUCCUGCAACGUGAAGAUGAAGAGGAGGUCCUUCUUUGCCCAGGCACAACCUGUCCAUAGGCAGGAUAUACUGCGGGACCUGUGCAGGACGUGCUGGUGAGGACCUCACCCUGAUAUUUGUAAUGGUAUCAACGGGACUACACUGAGCUUCAUCUCCAGAGGACCUGGACCACAGCAUUGUGUCAGAUGUCCACAAGUGUUCAAUGCUUAAGAGGCAUUUUUAAGCCAGACUUGGGCUCCAAAAUUACUCCAGUGGUUUUUAAAAUGGUAUCAGCCCUGCAUCCCCAUGGUUUGGAGAGGUUGUUUUCCCAGCAGGGCACCCUAUCUCCCCAUCAAAGUCCUUAAAUGCUGGGAAGGAAAUCAGCAAUGCUGAAAGGUCUCUUGGAGAAAGUCAGCUCUAGGAUAUGGAGCAGUUGUCUCUGAUCUCUCCAGCUAUUACCUCAGUCCUCUUCCACGCUGCUUUUUAUAUCAUAGACCACAUCACGAAACACAUGAAACCCAAAAGCAUAUGGAAUUUUGCUGCUGACUUCCCAUGGCCAGUCAAAGCCCAAACAAGCAUGGGCAGCUUAUUUUCCACUUCCCAGUCCCCAGGCCCCAUCCAUCACAGAGCUGUGCACCUCCUAAUGGCCUGCGUUUCUGGAGGAAAGCAGCUGUUAGAGCACUCAGCGUUGCUGUGUUCAAUCAUAACAUCAGAAAAGUGCAUAAAAUAAUGAAAGCAAACUUGCCAUUGUCUGAAAAAGAAAGGCUCCUAUCAUGGAAAGCCACGCUUUCCACAGACAUUACUGUAUUCCUUUUUCCGCUUGACAAUUUAUUCAAGUAUCAAAGGCUCAAGUCUCCUGAUAAUUUUGUCUGGUCAGAGAACAAGCAUCUGCUCUCUCUGAUUGCAGGUCACUUCUCUCAUGCAAAACUCGAUUGAGACAUGCACGUCAAGGUCAGAAAUGAGUCUGAGCUCAUACAUUGUUAGCCUAAAAAAAAACAAGAAGUAGAAAAAGAGAUAAUAACAAGCCUUUAAAAUGGACUUUGGUAAUGCGCUUUUGCUGCGAGUAUGGUGUAAAGAGGAGUUAAUUGCAGCAUUCUAAUGUAUUAAUUGCUUGUUAGUUGUUAAGUUUAAGCCUUUUGCUGGAAAAGGAUGAUGAAAUUUGGAUGGAAAUCAGCCUAUAUUGGACAGUGGGAAGACUGGAAGUUUAGAAAGAGGAAGGUGAAAAUGAUGUGAUUGGAGCAUAAAAAGAGAGCAUUCCAGCCAAAAUAAAGUGUGCAACUAUCAGUGAAACCCUGGGCUGACCACUGGUUAAGAAGAGCUUUGCAUAAACAUCAGCUACCUUCAGAGUUCUUGGAGAUGAAAAGUAUGUGAAAAGUCUUGGCCUCUGGGGGUGUAAAAAACAGAAGUAAUGCUAGUUUACUCAUCUGCUGUUUGCAAGGCUCUGAAAAGAAACUUGUGCAGCUCAUGAAGGAUCAUCACCUGCCUUGCAAAACAUCCAGGUCUGAUGUGCUUGCUAGGUGGAGUGUUUUCUCUCCUUCUUUCAGUCUUUUACCCCUGCAAGCUCUUCCACAGUCUUUUCCAAUUACGAGCUUCCCCCUGAAAAAGCACACACCAGGCCUUCCACGUCAAAGCGGCAAUAAAGCCCUUGGGGAAACAAUUUCCUGUGUGACAUUCACAAAGUGAAAUUCGGCCUGGAAGGAAGCGCUGUUAGGAAGAGCGUGGGCUGAACUCCAUCCUCUUUCAUCUGGAUCCUGGAGGCGUUCUCACCCCCGCUCCCUCCACCUCCACACCCGAUGUCCUCGCCAAGUGCAUUGGGAAGAAGUUCUGAUCUGGAGCACAACAGCACACACCCUGAACCUAGCUAGCUGGAGAUACUACCGAUGAGCUGCCUAAGUGCUUCUCUUUUGUUCCAGCCCAAGAUUUGAGGCUCAUUCCCCCUGUCCUAGCCAAGCAGAGAUUCAGAGGCAGAAGUUCAUACUGGUCUGACGAUGAUGAUGAUGAGCUACUCCAGGGGGCCAUGGGGUUUAUCCCCAUGCACCCCCUGAAUCCUGAGUGUUUGUAGCAGCAGAGCUAGCCACAGUCGGCCUGUCUGAGAGAUCCAGCAGAAAUAAUGUGCCCUGUGGGAAUAGGUUGCCUCACCCAGGGCCUGAUGGCACGUGUUCUGCCGUUAGCCCAGCGCCGGGUCCAGCUGCAAGCCGAGACCUGCCGUGGUUAACGUGCUGCUAGGAGGCUCGUCUUGCACCUGUGGGAGCCCAUCGGCAUUAGAUUACCCUCUGUGAUCUUCAGCGGUGUGAAAAUAAAAUCUCCUGCAACUCGUGUGCUCUGUACAGUCCAGAUAAUGGCACAAGGGUGGAACAGAGAAAGUAGGGACGGGCAUUUAAAGCACACAAAGUCCUGAGUCUCUCCUGAGCCACAGCUACCUAGCUCAUCCCUGAAACAACCACCAAAAGAAACUCGUGGUGUUGAUCUGUGAGUUGCAGCAGCUGAUACGCCUGCCUGCUAGGGGUAAUCUACUGGGCAUCAGCAGAGCACAGAACUUCUGAACGUCUUGGACCACCUCCAUAGUAUUGUCCAUGAGGACUGCAGUGCCGUAUGCAGCUUCUGGUGAAAUCAGGCAAUAGAAAACAAGGGAAUGUAAAAUGUGUGUUCCUUGGAGAGACCUGCACUUUGUCAGCUGAUGAUCAAGCUUUGCUAUCUCUUCUCUUAAAUAAAUACUCUGUCCCUGGAGGGGGCUGAGACUAAAGGAUCUAAAACAUCUAAGCUGUGAAGCAAAUGAUGUCUUGGAUACAGUCAAGUUUUCCAUAUGAAAAAAUUAGUCCUAGCCAGAAGUACAUUUGCUUGCAUUUCAAACACACAUCUCUCCCUGGCCAGCAGUGAAUUCUGAGCCAGGUGACAGUCUGGGCACACAGGGGCUGCA